GUCUGAUCUUGCCAUUCGUUUGCCGCAAUUGCGGUAACAGGUUCCCUGCUCAGCGAGGACCUACAUGUUCACAUUUCGCUCAAUGAGUGUCAGCGCUGAGCGCCGAUCGUCGGUGCCGUGGAAUUUUCUUGUGUUUCUUGGUUCGUGGUUGGACGCUUGAACAUUGUGUCGUUUGAUGGGUCGGACUAUGUGAACCCAAUUCUGUACUUCCUUUUACGUGUUGAGGCCGUGAGAUAGCAUAUGCGUCAACAACGCGGGUCGAACUGCCGACCCAAGAGGCGAAGAUGGUGACCAGCCGGUUCGGGGAGAGGCAGCCACCGCGACGGCUUCUUGGCGACGACGGCGGCCCCAGCGUCCACGGCGAUGGCUUCUUGGCGACGGCGGCGGCCGCAGCGUCCACGGCGAGGGCUUCUUGGCGACGGCGGCGGCCCCAGCGUCCACGGCGACUGCUUCUUGGCGACGGUGGCGGCCCCAGCGUCCACGGCGGCGGCGGCCCCAGCGUCCACGGUGACGGCGGCGCCCCCAACGUCCACGGCGACGGCUUCUUCGACGGCGGCGGCCCCAGCAUCGACGGGACCACGACGACAAAGAAGGCGUCCAAGGGUUCAUAUCGGCGGCAAGAAGGCGGCCGGAAUCCAAGAAUGCACGAGUACAACAAGAACGGCGAGAAGUUUCGGAGCGCACGAGGUCCUGGCGGGGCAACCUCAAGAACGCGACCAGAGGCCAAGAAGGCGGUUCCGAAGAUCGGAGAUGAAGAAUCACCCCGCCGAAGUCGGAGAUAGAAGCGGGGUUCUUGGCGAAUACGGCUGGAUCAAGAACGCGGCGGCAGAAAUCGGAGAUCACUGAAGUGGCGCACGGAUUCUUGCGACGGCUCCAACAGAUUGCGGAGAUCCAGUGUUUCAAGAAAAAAAAGAAUCGCCGGGCGUGUUUCAGAAAAUAAAUGGAUGAUAGAAGAUAUGCUAGAGUUGCUGCUGCUGGAGGAGGGGUAUCUGUUACAGUAAGCCACCUCCCCUUGAGCUGAAAUGACCAAUUGUAUCCCUUGUUGUGAUUGGUGUCAGUGUCAGAGAUGGAGUUCUCUGACUUGUUGACAGGUAUAUGUGCGCACAUGCCUUAUCCUCAGCCAUCCUGGUAUAGGAUGUCGGUGCCUUGCAGGAUAUGUCAAUCCAGUUAGUGUCGCGAAUGGGCCACUAGACUUGGUCGUGAGCACCGAUGACCUAACUAAGUUUAUGCUGGGAAUGGAUAUGCUGUUGAAGCAUUUCAUCAUUUACCUGGAAUAUCCAAGAGGUGCAUAUAGGGAUGAAAACGGAGCGGAUAGUUUCCGUCCGCUCCGGACAAAAACGGAUACGGAUACCUUUCGGAUCGGAUAAUUCUCGGAUAUUUCGGAUACGGAUACGAAUAUGGAUAUUUUCUCUCGGAUACGAAUACGAAUAUGGUAUCAGGGUUUCCGUCGGAUACGGAUAAUAAUUCGGAUAUCCGGUGAACAGUGCUAUUCGAAUAUCCGCAGGACCCAUGAGAUAUACCCCAUUUCUUUCUAACUCUAUAACCUUCAAUAUACCUUUAUAGAUUUUAAUAGUAGUUUAUCUCUUAACACUAGUCCAUACUAUUAAUAUUAUUUAAAUUUUAAAAAAUAUUUAUAAAUUAUACCU